rnacentral:rRNA from 1 species
UACGUAGGUGGCGAGCGUUGUCCGGAUUUACUGGGCGUAAAGAGCGCGCAGGCGGUCGUGCAAGUCGCGUGUGAAAGCCCCCGGCUCAACUGGGGAGGGUCACGCGAUACUGCUCGACUUGAAGGCAGGAGAGGUGAGUGGAAUUCCGAGUGUAGAGGUGAAAUUCGUAGAUAUUCGGAGGAACACCAGUGGCGAAGGCGGCUCACUGGUCCAUUACUGACGCUGAGGUGCGAAAGCGUGGGGAGCAAACAGG